rnacentral:rRNA from 1 species
UACGGAGGAUGCGAGCGUUAUCCGGAUUUAUUGGGUUUAAAGGGUGCGUAGGCGGAUCGUUAAGUCAGUGGUCAAAUUGAGGGGCUCAACCCCUUGCCGCCAUUGAAACUGGCGAUCUUGAGUGGAAGAGAAGUAUGCGGAAUGCGUGGUGUAGCGGUGAAAUGCAUAGAUAUCACGCAGAACCCCGAUUGCGAAGGCAGCAUGCCGGCUUCCUACUGACGCUGAAGCACGAAAGCGUGGGGAUCGAACAGG